rnacentral:rRNA from 1 species
UACUCCUACCGGAGGCAGCAGUAGGGAAUCUUCCGCAAUGGGCGAAAGCCUGACGGAGCAACGCCGCGUGAGUGAUGAAGGUUUUCGGAUCGUAAAGCUCUGUUGCCAGGGAAGAACGUCCGGUAGAGUAACUGCUACCGGAGUGACGGUACCUGAGAAGAAAGCCCCGGCUAACUACGUGCCAGCAGCCGCGGUAAUACGUAGGGGGCAAGCGUUGUCCGGAAUUAUUGGGCGUAAAGCGCGCGCAGGCGGUCAUUUAAGUCUGGUGUUUAAGGCCAAGGCUCAACCUUGGUUCGCACUGGAAACUGGGUGACUUGAGUGCAGAAGAGGAGAGUGGAAUUCCACGUGUAGCGGUGAAAUGCGUAGAUAUGUGGAGGAACACCAGUGGCGAAGGCGACUCUCUGGGCUGUAACUGACGCUGAGCGCUAUUCUGCCC